GACGAACGCUGGCGGCGCGCCUAACACGUGCAAGUCGAACGGAGCUUACGUUUUGAAGUUUUCGGAUGGAUGAAUGUAAGCUUAGUGGCGGACGGGUGAGUAACACGUGAGCAACCUGCCUUUCAGAGGGGGAUAACAGCCGGAAACGGCUGCUAAUACCGCAUGAUGUUGCGGGGGCACAUGCCCCUGCAACCAAAGGAGCAAUCCGCUGAAAGAUGGGCUCGCGUCCGAUUAGCCAGUUGGCGGGGUAACGGCCCACCAAAGCGACGAUCGGUAGCCGGACUGAGAGGUUGAACGGCCACAUUGGGACUGAGACACGGGCCCAGACUCCUACGGGAGGCAGCAGUGGGGGAUAUUGCACAAUGGGCGAAAGCCUGAUGCAGCGACGCCGCGUGAGGGAAGACGGGUCUUCGGAUUGUAAACCUCUGUCUUUGGGGAAGAAAUGACGGUACCCAAAGAGGAAAGCUCCGGCUAACUACGUGCCAGCCGCCGCA
rnacentral:rRNA from 1 species